AUGCUGCUCACUGUCGUUUUGGUCGUUUUUCUGUUUUUUGUUGUUACGAAAAAGGGAGGUGGAAAGUCAGUGCCAAAUGCAUGGCAAUCCUUGGUCGAGCUUAUUUAUGAUUUCGUGCUGAACCUGGAAAUGUGA
rnacentral:rRNA from 1 species